AACGAACGCUGGCGGCAUGCCUAACACAUGCAAGUCGAACGAGACCUUCGGGUCUGGUGGCGCACGGGUGCGUAACGCGUGGGAACCUGCCCUUAGGUUCGGAAUAACUCCCCGAAAGGGGUGCUAAUACCGGAUAAUGUCUUCGGACCAAAGAUUUAUCGCCUUUGGAUGGGCCCGCGUUGGAUUAGCUAGUUGGUAGGGUAAAAGCCUACCAAGGCGACGAUCCAUAGCCGGUCUGAGAGGAUGAUCAGCCACACUGGGACUGAGGCACGGCCCAGACUCCUACGGGAGGCAGCAGUGGGGAAUAUUGGACAAUGGGCGAAAGCCUGAUCCAGCAAUGCCGCGUGAGUGAUGAAGGCCUUAGGGUUGUAAAGCUCUUUUACCCGGGAUGAUAAUGACAGUACCGGGAGAAUAAGCUCCGGCUAACUCCGUG
rnacentral:rRNA from 1 species